GAUGAACGCUAGCGGCAGGCUUAACACAUGCAAGUCGAGGGGUAUAGUUCUUCGGAACUAGAGACCGGCGCACGGGUGCGUAACGCGUAUGCAAUCUACCUUUUGCAGAGGGAUAGCCCAGAGAAAUUUGGAUUAAUACCUCAUAGUAUGUGAGAAUGGCAUCAUUUUCACAUUAAAGUCACAACGGCAAAAGAUGAGCAUGCGUCCCAUUAGCUAGUUGGUAAGGUAACGGCUUACCAAGGCAACGAUGGGUAGGGGUCCUGAGAGGGAGAUCCCCCACACUGGUACUGAGCCACGGACCAGACUCCUACGGGAGGCAGCAGUGAGGAAUAUUGGACAAUGGGCGCAAGCCUGAUCCAGCCAUGCCGCGUGCAGGAUGACGGUCCUAUGGAUUGUAAACUGCUUUUGUACAGGAAGAAACACUGGUUCGUGAACCAGCUUGACGGUACUGUAAGAAUAAGGAUCGGCUAACUCCGUGCCAGCCGCCGCAGUAAUAC
rnacentral:rRNA from 1 species